rnacentral:rRNA from 1 species
AGUGGCGAACGGGUGAGUAAUAUAUCGGAACGUGCCCAGUAAUGGGGGAUAGCCCGGCGAAAGCCGGAUUAAUACCGCAUACGACCUACGGGUGAAAGCGGGGGAUCGCAAGACCUCGCGUUAUUGGAGCGGCCGAUAUCAGAUUAGCUUGUUGGCGGGGUAAAAGCCCACCAAGGCGACGAUCUGUAGCUGGUCUGAGAGGACGACCAGCCACACUGGGACUGAGACACGGCCCAGACUCCUACGGGAGGCAGCAGUGGGGAAUUUUGGACAAUGGGCGCAAGCCUGAUCCAGCCAUGCCGCGUGCGGGAAGAAGGCCUUCGGGUUGUAAACCGCUUUUGUCAGGGAGGAAACGGCUCUUACUAAUAUUAGGAGCUAAUGACGGUACCUGAAGAAUAAGCACCGGCUAACUACGUGCCAGCAGCCGCGGUAAUACG